rnacentral:rRNA from 1 species
AUUGAACGCUGGCGGCAGGCCUAACACAUGCAAGUCGAGCGGAUGAAGGGAGCUUGCUCCUGGAUUCAGCGGCGGACGGGUGAGUAAUGCCUAGGAAUCUGCCUGGUAGUGGGGGAUAACGUCCGGAAACGGGCGCUAAUACCGCAUACGUCCUGAGGGAGAAAGUGGGGGAUCUUCGGACCUCACGCUAUCAGAUGAGCCUAGGUCGGAUUAGCUAGUUGGUGGGGUAAAGGCCUACCAAGGCGACGAUCCGUAACUGGUCUGAGAGGAUGAUCAGUCACACUGGAACUGAGACACGGUCCAGACUCCUACGGGAGGCAGCAGUGGGGAAUAUUAGACAAUGGGCGAAAGCCUGAUCCAGCCAUGCCGCGUGUGUGAAGAAGGUCUUCGGAUUGUAAAGCACUUUAAGUUGGGAGGAAGGGCAGUAAGUUAAUACCUUGCUGUUUUGACGUUACCAACAGAAUAAGCACCGGCUAACUUCGU